GGUAUGGUUCUGUUUUGAUGGGGAAGGAGCUAACCAGCUUCAAAGCUGUUAUGAAAUCGUUUAUGGUUUUGAUUGUAACUGCUUUGGCUAUGGGAGAGACCCUUGCUAUGGCACCAGACCUUAUAAAAGGAAACCAGAUGGUAGCAUCAGUAUUUGAAGUGCUUGAUCGGAAGACAGAAAUUGUAACCGACAGUGGGGAGGAGCUAACUGUGGUUGAGGGAACAAUUGAGUUUAAGGAUGUUGAGUUCUGCUAUCCUGCAAGACCCGAUGUUCACAUUUUCAGAGACUUCAAUAUGAGAGUGCAUGCAGGAAAGAGUAUGGCAAUAGUAGGGCAGAGUGGUUCUGGUAAAAGCUCAGUAUUGGCUCUCAUUUUACGGUUCUAUGAUCCUAUAUCUGGGAAAGUGAUCAUUGAUGGCAAAGACAUCAGGAAACUAAAGCUCAAUUCUCUAAGAAAGCACAUUGGCCUGGUCCAACAAGAACCAGCACUCUUUGCCACAACAAUCUAUGAAAAC
rnacentral:misc_RNA from 1 species